UUCCUCUGGCAGCACGUACUCUAAAAUUGGAGCAAUACAGAGAAGAUUAGCAUGGCCCCUGUGCAAGGAUGUCAUGCAAAUUCAUGAAGCGUUCCAUAUUUUU
ensembl:snRNA LOC120093292 U6 spliceosomal RNA